AUUGAACGCUGGCGGCAGGCCUAACACAUGCAAGUCGAACGAGUGGCGGACGGGUGCGUAAUGUCUGGGAAACUGCCUGAUGGAGGGGGAUAACUCCUGGAAACGGUAGCUAAUACCGCAUACCAUCGGAUGUGCCCAGAUGGGAUUAGCUAGUAGGUGGGGUAACGGCUCACCUAGGCGACGAUCCCUAGCUGGUCUGAGAGGAUGACCAGCCAGACGGGAACUGAGACACGGUCCAGACUCCUACGGGAGGCAGCAGUGGGGAAUAUUGCACAAGGGGCGCAAGCCUGAUGCAGACAUGCCGCGUGUAUGAAGAAGGCCUGCGGGUUGUAAAGCACUUUCAGCGGGGAGGCGUUACCCGCAGAAGAAGCACCGGCUAACUCCGUGCCAGCCGCCGCGGUAAUUC
rnacentral:rRNA from 1 species